rnacentral:antisense_RNA from 1 species
UCGACGCGCGGAUUGACCCAUGCGCACCAGUCCUGUGAGGAGGGACCGUCGGUCUCGG